CAUGUCCUACUGAACCUGAUUAGUGUUGCUCUUACCACCGGUGCAUCCUUUGAUCAAUCAGAUCAGACACCUGGAUCCAUCAUCCAAGGAUCAGGUCGUCCAUCCUUACCCAUGAUCAGAUCACACACGGCCUGCCUUGAAUAAUAACACCUAAGCUUAGUACUUUGGUCCACGCCACCAAGUACUUAGCUGUACUCUUCUUCCUGGCUCUCAGCCAAUGCAUUGCCCAUACCUUACCAACACCAAGGUUGAUAACCAGCAAUUCCUUAUGAUCA
rnacentral:lncRNA from 1 species